GACAAAACUACAAACUCAAUUUUAAAAAGAAAUUAGUUUGUAACAAUGUACUAGCUAGUUUUGUGUGUCAACUUGACACAAGCUGGAGUUAUCACAGAGAAAGGAGCCUCCCUUGACGAAAUGCCUUCAUGAGAUCCAGCUGUAAGGCAUUUUUUCAAUUAGUGAUCAAGUGGGGAGGGCCCCUUGUGGGUGGUGCCAUCCCUGGGCUGUUAGUCUUGGGUGCUAUAAGAAAGCAAGCUGAGCAAGGCAGGGGAAGCGAGCUUCUGGAUCCUGAUGUUUUGUGCAGGAAUAGAAAUGCUAAGACAAACAAUUAUCAGAACUUUUACUUGCAGAAACAUAUGAGAAAUGUCCUCAGAGCCCUUUUCUGCCAUACAUGGGCUCCUGCACACAUAUGUGCAUAGACAGACACUCAUGUAUAAAUAAAAUAAAUAGGCUUUAAAAAGAAUAUUUGUAUAAUAGAAAAUAUAAAUUAAAUAAUGCUUUACAAAAGAGCCCCUAUAGUUCUUCCUUCAUACAAAAAUUCAAUUGUUUACUUCCUUAAUCCAGUUUUGUAGAGUUGUUACCAUAUAUGGUAUACAUAUUUCUUAACUAUAUACUUAUAUUUACUUUUAUUGCAUCGAUUUUUUUUUCUUUCAAAGUUAAAGUAAUGUUGAAGCAUUAUAUAUUUUCAUUUAAAUUUGUGUUGUUAAAAUUCUUUGUUCAUUUACUUUUGUGUUUUAAUCUUUUUACUACCCAUUUACAGGGUUUAUAUGUAAUGAACUCGUUUAGGGACGUGUUUCGCAGUUGAACACCACUAUCUGGAAGGUUGAUCUGGUCGAGAGGCAAACAUUUCAGGGGAUGCUAUGAGUUGAAAAUUUCUUACCUGACAGGUGACAGGUCAAGGUCAAAUCAAGGCUCAUUAAAACUACUGCAUUAAAUUACCUUUGGGCUUUGUAUAUAAGGUGCAUUGGAAACAUAGUGAAUUGUAUGCCAGGAAUUAAGUCCCAUAUCCAAGCUAUCUAAUUAUGCAUGGGCCGACAUUUCAAAUCUGAAACACUUCAGCCUGUACUACCAUGAUAGCCAGAUGUUCUAUCUGCAAUUCUAUGGUAAAUAAUCGAUAGUUACUGUUGAGGAGAUAACAGUCCCUUUUAAGAGUUUCUGUAGGUUUCAGAGCCAUGGUUUUCUUGCGCCGAGAAAUAUAAUGGACUUUCAGAUUCCUUGUAAAUAAAGAAAUGCUGACUUCCAAGCUGCCUACUUUCCAGAGGUAAAGGGGUUAAAUUUUUAAUUAUUAUGAGUUUUAAGUUAAUGAAGACUUAUAUUUAAAUCCCUACCUGGGACUACUGUCUAACACAUCGGACACCACAGUUCCAAAACUUAUCAGUACCAUGGCCUCAGCUCCAACUGUAAGAUUUAGAGAGGAUUUAGGCAUGAUCAUGCCUUUCCCCUCCAAGUAGCAUUUUUUUAUAUUUUAGCUCUCUGUUAUACCACCUACCUUCCCACAAAUUAGUCACCAUCAUCAUGAUUCUGUGCACCAAUAUUUAUUUAUUUUUUUACAAAAGGACUCAUAGAGCAUGAAGCUACUUCCUUUCAAGGGAAAGUGUUGGUAGUUCCUUCAGAGAUCACCAUAAAAGACAAAAGUCUCAGGAUUUUUUUUUCUGACAAUAUAUUGCUCACUCUACCCUUACAAGAUGAAUUAUAUUUCAGCUGGCUUAUCAAUCAGCAUGUGUACUUGUCUUUCAUGGUUGAUCAGUUUUGGUAGCCAAUAUUUCUAUCAGCCCACUAUUUUCAGUUGUUAGGUGAACUUUUUAUUGAUUAACUUUUAUGAUUUCAUCCACAUGUAUAAUGUAUGUUAGUCAUCUACAAGUAUAGUGUAUAUUGAUCAUGACACAUGUUUAAUAUGUGUUAAUUGUACAUGCAUAAUACAUGUAUAUCAUUCAUGUGUAUAAUGUAUAUUGAUCAUUCAUGUGUAUAAUGUAUGUUGACCAUCCAUGUGUAUAAUGUAUGUCGAUCAUGUACCUGUAGAAUGUAUGUCAAUCAUGCACGUGUAUAAUGUAUGUUGAUCAUGCAUGUGUAUAAUGUAUGUUGAUCAUCCAUGCAUAUAAUAUAUGUCUAUCAUUCAUGUGUAUAAUGUAUGUUGAUUAUCCAAUGUAUCUCGAUCAUGAACAUGUAGAAUGUAUGUUGAUCAUGCAUGUGUAUAAUGUAUGUUGGUCAUGCUAACUCUCAUUACCUUCUCUUCUUGUAGACUUCCCAUCCCACUGGACUCUUUCUGCUUCCAGCUUAUUUCCCUUGUGUGUGUGUGUGUGUGUGUGUGUGUGUGUGUGUGUGUUUGUCACUGAGUUUAAAUCGGGUUAUAUUAUAUGAAUGGGCAAAGAUGGCAGUUGUUGACCUCAGCAUGGGCAAUUUAUCAGUGGCUGUAUUGAAAAACAGGCUUAUCGUCUGUCUAGAUUGUUUUGUUUUGUUUGUUUUUGUUAAUUUGAUACAAGUUACAAGUUAGGGAUUGUUAUGGGAGGGCCCAACCCACUGUGGCAGGUCUUAUCUCUGAGAAGGUGGUCUUGGAUGGUAUAAGAAAGCAGGCUGUGCAAGCCAUAGGGAGCAAGCCAGCAAGCACCAUCUCUCUGUGACCUCUGCUCUAGUUCCUGCCUCCAGGUUCCUGCCUAGAUUUUUUGUUGUUGUUGUUUUUUGUUUAUUUGUUUGUUUUUCGAGACAGGGUUUCUCUGUGUAGCCCUGGCUGUCCUGGAACUCACUUUGUAGACCAGGCUGGCCUUGAACUCAGAAAUCCACCUGCCUCUGCCUCCCGACUGCCUAGAAUUCUUGCCCUGACUUCCCUCGGUGACAGAGUAUGUUUUGAAAAUUGUAAGAUGAAAUAAAACCUUUCCUCCC
rnacentral:lncRNA from 1 species